UGAACGCUGGCGGUAUGCCUAACACAUGCAAGUCGUACGGGAGUUUUUAACUCCAGUGGCGGACGGGUGAGUAACACGUGAGAAUUUACCUUUAGGAGGGGGAUAACCGAUUGAAAAGCCUGCUAAUACCCCAUAUGCUUUCGAGUGAAAUGAAUUUAUUCGCCUAGAGAGAAGCUCGCGGCUGAUUAGCUUGUUGGUAAGGUAAGAGCUUACCAAGGCGACGAUCAGUAUCUGGUUUGAGAGGACGAUCAGACACACUGGAACUGAGACACGGUCCAGACUCCUACGGGAGGCAGCAGUGGGGAAUUUUCCGCAAUGGGCGAAAGCCUGACGGAGCAAUACCGCGUGAGGGAAGACGGCCUAUGGGUUGUAAACCUCUUUUUUCAGGGAGGAAUAAAUGACGUGUACCUGAAGAAUAAGCAUCGGCUAACUCC
rnacentral:rRNA from 1 species